GGGCCGAUGGUGUAGUUGGUUAUCACGCCUGUCUAACACUGUAAAAGUGCACAGGCGGUCCUCAGUUCGAACCUGGGUCGGCUCA